UAUUAUUUGUAUAUCUUCUUCAGUCAUUUGAUUCAUCUAAUUCACUAUCUAUUUUAUUAUUUGUUUCAUUUUCUGAGAUUUCAUAUAUACUAUUUUCACUUUUUAGUUCAUAAUCUAUAUAAUCUAUUUGCAUAUAUUCUGUAUUUUCUAUCUUUAUUUCUGAUAUUUAUUUCUUUUUUGGAUCUUUGGAUACUUUACAAUCUUUAGCU
rnacentral:lncRNA from 1 species